UACGAAGGGGGCUAGCGUUGUUCGGAAUCACUGGGCGUAAAGCGCACGUAGGCGGAUCUUUAAGUCAGAGGUGAAAGCCUGGAGCUCAACUCCAGAACUGCCUUUGAUACUGGGGAUCUUGAGUCCGGUAGAGGUGAGUGGAACUGCUAGUGUAGAGGUGAAAUUCGUAGAUAUUAGCAAGAACACCAGUGGCGAAGGCGGCUCACUGGACCGGUACUGACGCUGAGGUGCGAAAGCGUGGGGAG
rnacentral:rRNA from 1 species